CCCAGCACGACCGACACAACAUCGACAUUCGCUACUGGUGCGUCGGGUUCACAACCAACCAAGAAGAACACCCGAGGACCUUGUCGCCAGUUGAAGACGACAAAGGUCACCCGGGUGACCAAGUGAUAUGACGAGCGGCAUUGGGCUGCACCAACGGCGGACCAGCAUAGCUCAUUGGCCCACGACAUUGGUCGCAUCGUUCGGACCCAUUGCCUGAUGAAAUGGAAGUCUUGAAAGGUCAUGCCUGACGAGAUGAGGACGGAGGUGCGCAGACAGUUGUCGACGAACUACAAUUUAGAGGAUCUCGACGACGAGUCGUUGGCGUACAUCAACAGACUCUUUGCAGAGAGGUACAAGCAGUGGAAGAGCGACCUGCACCACCAUUUUUAGGCAUUUGAUGAUCCGUAGGUCGCUCUUCAGAAGGGUUGCCCGAAGGACCUUGAGGGGCGGGAGGAUAGUUAGGUGUGGCUCUGCGGUCAUUUUUAGGAGCUCGAUUAUGUGAAGAAGGCGAAAGCAAAUAAGGGCAAUAGGGAAAAGAAGACUCUUCUCCACCAUUCAAGUUCCAAGCCCUUCUCAUAUAGGAUGGAGGCCCGGCAGCGGGUAAUAAUAAAGUCGUUUAUAUUCAAUUUUUAAUAUGUCAUUAAUAUUAAUUUUUUUUUUUCGUACUAACAUUUUAAUAUGUCCCUCGUCGACCUCCGAGCCCCUCCAACUCGAGCAUGGCCACCACACCUCUGCCCCUGUCGAUAAUGUCCAGACCUUCGAGCCGCAUUUGCAAGACGACCACGUAGAUUUUGGAACAUUUUUUAAUUAGUUUUUUACUUUCUUAAUUACAUUUUAAACAUUUCUC